UGCAGUAUCUUUCUUUGUUUUUCCAUAGGCUAUAUAACGAACCCAAAAGCACUUUUAAGAGCUUAUCUAUCUUUCAUCUAUCUAUCUAUCUAUCUAUCUAUCUAUCUAUCUAUCUAUCUAUCUACACUAUCUAUCUAUCUAUCUAUCUAUCUAUCUAUCUAUCUAUCUAUCUAUCUCGUCUGUCUGUCUCUGUUUUGAUCUGUGUAUUCGUCUAUCUGUUGAGUGUCUAUAUACAUUCACAUGAUGGACUUCGAGUUUGAAGAAGAGCUGAGAAAUACUGAUGAGCUCCUUGAAAACUUACAAGCUCGAGAGGUAAAAUAAAGUCAUCAUACAGUACAUACAUUGAGUUCAAUAUAUUUUCCUGUUGGUUUAAUAUUAUUAAGUCACAAUCAAUAUUAAUUUUGCCAUUACUGUUACUGUAUCGGUCAGUAGUAAGCAGUUUUUACCCUAACAAGACAUUAAGUUAUAUUUCUUGAAUUACUGGCUGGUCAUUUUUAUGCACUUAGGGAAGACUGGGCAAAAGCAAUGUGCACCCUCUACCCUCACCCCCUACUGUUCAGUGGAGAAAGAGGGACAGCCAAGGGGAAAUACUUUACAAAUAUCCAAGAGCCAAAAGGGCAGCAACUGUAGAAAGCAAGUAUAAUGUACUUACUAAUGUACUUACUGUAAACGCAAAUCUCUCUCUCUCUCCCACUCUCUCUCUCUCUCUCUCUCUCUCUCUCUCUCUCUAUAUAUAUAUAUACAGUUUGCUAUGCAGUAUUUAAAAUGAUGUCAAAUUGUGCUUCUGUUUUGUAAAUAGGACUAAAAAGAGACCACACCAAUAUUUCAGGUAAUGUUUACAUAAAAAUUAUGUUGUGUAUAUGUGUAUUUCUUUUGUGUUUAUUUCCUUCUUACAUUUGUUCUGGCAGGUCCAUUUGUUAUGGAAGAUGACUUGAAUGGUGGCCCUGCAAAUGCCUCUGAAACAGCUGAUACUAUUCUUGAAGAGCUAAAGAGGCUGUUGGACACUAAGGAAGAUGAUGCAAAUGUUGUCCCAAUUCAAGAUCAUCAACCUCGGUCUAUAUCUAAUGACUGGGCCAUUAGAACUGAAAUGAGGGCGGAGAGAUGGAAAGAAGCUAGAUCUUCUCUUGUGGAGAACAUUUUGAAAGGAGAAGAUGCAAGUUCCUCAUCCUGCCAACAGUGCAGAUCAAAUGCAGCUGUUGUGCGCUGUAGGGACUGCCUCCCUUACCCUUUCCUCUGUGCAGAAUGUGAUGAGAAACGACAUGGUAGCUUCUUUGUUCUCCACAAUAGAGAUUCACUUGUCUCAGGUUUUGUACAACCUUUACCUCCAUCAACAGGAUUCUUCCAGGCAGCUGGUCAAAUUUCUGUUAAACAUCUUGUUCGACUGCUGCCUGUAGAAAUACCUACCCAUAUUUGUGAUUGCAGUAACGGGACAGUCCUUGUUUCUUCAGGCAGGCCCAGGACCCUGAUCACUAUGAAUGGCCGUUACAACCUUAGCAUGCCUCACUUGUUCUGUGCUUCGUGUGGAUAUUCACGAGAGGUGUCUUUGCCAGAACUUCAAAAGAGUGGUUACUGGCCUGGUAACAUUCCUGCAAGAGCACUGUUCACAACAGAUGUGCUUGUCUCAUUUCAAGAGAUGAAAAUGGCAUCACCAGGGAUGUCUUUUCAAGCAUUUGUUAAAAUGCUUGAUGAGAAAACAAUUCUCUUUGGUAGAGUAAGUAUUUUGUUUUGUUUUUAAUUAUUAUUUUUUUUUUUCAUCAUUAACCAUUGCCAAGUAAAAUUACUAUUUUCUUUGGACGUAGUAGAAACCUUUGCAUGUAUAGAUUUAACUACUAAGAUAUUUAAUGUACUGAGAUUUUAAUACAUUAUGAUUCUCAAUUUAGCUUUAUAACCAAAACAAUUAAUUCAUUUUCAAUGUGAAAAUGAUUGCUUUUCUGUAGACUGUGCUAACUUUAUAUGAAAUGUUAAACAGACU
ensembl:lncRNA